GUGGGGAAUAUUGGACAAUGGGCGCAAGCCUGAUCCAGCCAUGCCGCGUGAGUGAUGAAGGCCCUAGGGUUGUAAAGCUCUUUCACCGGAGAAGAUAAUGACGGUAUCCGGAGAAGAAGCCCCGGCUAACUUCGUGCCAGCAGCCGCGGUAAUACGAAGGGGGCUAGCGUUGUUCGGAAUUACUGGGCGUAAAGCGCACGUAGGCGGACAUUUAAGUCAGGGGUGAAAUCCCGGGGCUCAACCCCGGAACUGCCUUUGAUACUGGGUGUCUGGAGUAUGGAAGAGGUAAGUGGAAUUCCGAGUGUAGAGGUGAAAUUCGUAGAUAUUCGGAGGAACACCAGUGGCGAAGGCGGCUUACUGGUCCAUUACUGACGCUGAGGUGCGAAAGCGUGGGGAGCAAACAGGAUUAGAAACCCCUGUAGUCC
rnacentral:rRNA from 1 species